AGACCCCACCACCAAGCAAGAAAAUGGAUGCUAUAAGGUAUGAACAUGGGAUAUCAGAAAAGAUAAAAAUUGUACGAAAGUCAAGACCAAGCCAGUGAGAGAUAGGCUUAUGAAAGGUACAUGUUGCCUUGCCUUUCUCAUGAUUCCAUCUACUAUUGUUUGUGUUGUCUCAUAUUGUAAUUGUUGCACUUAAAAUUACUGUUAAGUUUCUACAUUACUUUGUCCUAAGCUCAGCUCCAGAUUGCGCUUUUUCUUCAUUACUUUGUAACUACCUACAGGUAAUGCCUCUCUUGUCCAACAUGUGAACUUAGUUAGUUGUGCUGAUACUGAUUGAUUUAAAUUGGUGGAAACUCGCUUAAGCUUUGAAUCAAAGCAAGAUAAAUUAUCAAGGUCAGGAGAACUUUACAAUGGUGCCUAGUGUGAAUAUAAUAGUUUAGUAUUAGCAAAUUAAUUUGAAAUUUGGAAGUCAUGGUCAAGUAAUUAGCCAAGUAGACAACCCAAUUUAGUCUUCAUUUCAUUAAUAUAUUUUAAUUUGAUUUUGAUUUUGAUGACGACAAACAAACCAGGUGCUUCUGUUUGUCUUUUGGCUCACGGAUGUAUAUAUUUCUCAAGAACUUAAUGUGGUUUGGUGGUUCGAUUUCAGUGGUGAUAAUAGAAAACUCCAAAUGAUUGGUGAGAAGAUGGAUAUGCUCUGUUCCAAGGGCUGAUCGAUGAGCAUAGAAGCAAGAAGGAAAGUUCAAACACCAUGAUAGAUCACUUGCUCUCCUUUCAAGAAUCUCAGCCAGAGUAUUACACCGAUCAAAUUAUCAAAGGGCUUAUCAUGGCCAUGAUGGUGGCUGGAACAGAUACUUCAGCUAUAACAAUAGAAUGGGCAUUGUCAAAUAUGUUAAACCAUCCACAAGUGUUGGAGAAAGCAAGGAUGGAGUUGGACAAGUAAAGGGAUAUAGCACAAUUUUACCUAGAUGCUUCCUGAGUAAUAAACAGUGCCUAAACAUUUCAAAUAAAGCUGAAGAAUAAGAGAAUGCUAACCUCAGAGAUUGCAUGAUACUCUUUUGUUCAUUUAUAUAUCUCAGAUGUUCUUUUAUAUCUUGUUCUAGGGUCUUUAUGGAUAAGAAUUCCCUGUUAGACAACAACUCCUCAACCUAGCGCUUCACUGCACCAAAAGUCUGCUUAAAUUGUGAAACCUUGUUCUCAAACUGCUUGUGGGAACUGGUGCAAUUCUCUACCAACUUUCGCAAAUUUUCUUCCUUCACCAAAUCCAGUAAACACUUCCUUCUUGAACCAUUUGUCUCAAUUAUUGCAUAUCAUGAUGAAUUGGUGUUACUCUUCUAAUGUUGUGAGAAACUUAUUUUGUACCUAAUGAAAGGCUAAUAUUACCCAAUCUCUUGUUUUAGAUAGAGUCAAGGGAAGAGAACUAAACUGGGAGAAGAGAUGUGACAUUAUCAUUGGGACAGCUGAAGGAUUGGUUUACCUGCAUGAAAAUUCAAAAACUAGGAUAAUUCAAAGAGAUAAAAGCCAGCAACAUCUUAUUGGAUGCUAAACUUCGCGCAAAAAUUAUAUAUGGUAAUAAAUCUUGUUUCUUUUUAUUUUCUUAUGAUUAUGGAAUGUCAUAAAAUACUAAAAAAAUUUUUAUUGAGGUGCAGAAGUGUGGCUCUAUUUUGACUUCUAUGAUUUUAACAGAACACAUUGUAGAAUGAGAAGAAAGGUUGUUGUAACUGACAGUUGAUGAUUUGCUGCAUUAGCUCCAACAAUGCGAACCUGGUUGCGACCCAACAAAAGACUGGCUGCAAUUUCCUCAGCUAGCUUGAAAACCAAAGGGUAGAACUUGUAUAUUGCAAUGCUGAUGUGGAGUUUAACUUGAAGUGGCCACACACAACCACAAGGAGAUCGAGGAGGUAUAUUUGUCAAUGGCUCUGAGCAAGUCACCAUCAUGCAAUCUAAAAGGAAUAGGAUCAAUAUAAAAUCUUGUUGUUUAAAUUGUUGAAAAUGAACGAACUAGUAGUGUCAAUGAGUAAUGUAAAUAGUUAUAGUUUUGUCACUGGUUUAUUUUUUGGGUAUCUUUUUAUUGAGAUAGUGAGAUAUUGGCCAAUGAUGUUGAAAAAUAACAUCCAAUUUUAUAGGUAUCAUGUAAUGAAUAUUAUGUUUAUCUAUAUAAUU